rnacentral:lncRNA from 1 species
CGUAGGUGUGAUCAUGUUAAAAGCACAGGUGGGAGUGUGCUUGGAGAGGCCCCAGGGCUCCCCUUCACCAGACACCAGCUUCUCUCCAGGGUCCCAUUCGGGGCUAGCUUGCUGUUGGCCUCAGUUGAGUGGUGGCCCCUUUGGGAUUAGGAUAGAAGGAUAUAGCUUGAGGAUCAUAAGAGGUUGGAUGUUCCAGCUCUGGGGCAUUAAGCUCAGGAAUUUGAAAAAGGCUGCUAUAUUUAGUCGGGUUACUGCAUUUCUUGUUCCUCUUUGCCCCUGCCUACCUUGUCUAAGCCCACACUGUCCUGCCCUUCCUCUGAGAUGAUGGAGGAAGCUGAGGCCUCCGUGCCCUUUGCACUGCUGUCUGCAGCUCUCCGGUUGUGCUGUGUGCUGUACAUAGUGGUCACUGCACUGAGAAAUCUCUCUCAAAUCUAAAGUCUUACCCCCUCGAGAAGGGUUCUGCCUUGCUUGGUGGUGUACUUUCCACUGACCUCUGCCUUGGGAGAGUCUGUCUGGAAAUCGUGUACACUUCACCUGCUUUGUGGCGUCCUGUGCUCUGCUGCUUUACCUGUAU